rnacentral:tRNA from 1 species
GGGGUAGUAGCUCAGUCGGAAGAGCUGCGGACUCUUAAUCCGUAGGUCGCAGGUUCGAUCCCUGCCUACCCCAC